GACGAACGCUGGCGGCGUGCUUAACACAUGCAAGUCGAACGGAAAGGCCCUGCUUUUGUGGGGUGCUCGAGUGGCGAACGGGUGAGUAACACGUGAGUAACCUGCCCUUGACUUUGGGAUAACUUCAGGAAACUGGGGCUAAUACCGGAUAGGAGCUCCUGCUGCAUGGUGGGGGUUGGAAAGUUUCGGCGGUUGGGGAUGGACUCGCGGCUUAUCAGCUUGUUGGUGGGGUAGUGGCUUACCAAGGCUUUGACGGGUAGCCGGCCUGAGAGGGUGACAGGGCACAUAGGCAUUGGGAUAGGGCCCAGACGGCUACGGGAGGAAGGGGUGGGGAAUAUUGGGAGAUGGGCGGAGGCAGGAUGGAGGAACGCCGCGUGGGGGAUGACGGCCUUCGGGGUGGAAACCGCUUUCGACUGUGAAGACGCGUGAGUGACGGUAAUGGGCAGAGAAGCACCGGCUAACUACGG
rnacentral:rRNA from 1 species